CCUACGGGAGGCAGCAGUGGGGAAUAUUGGGCAAUGGCGGCCACUCUGACCCAGCUACUCCGCGUGUGGGAUGACGGUCUUCGGAUUGUAAAGUUCUGUGAUGGGGGACGAAAACAAUGACUGUACUCCAUUAGCAAGCUACGGCUACCUUCGUGCCAGCAGCCGCCGUACUCCGUAGGUGGCAAGCGUUAUCCGCAAUGACUGGGCGUAAAGGUUGCGUAUGUGGUGUGGUAAGUAGGCGGUGAAAUGCCGGGGCUUAACCUCGGCGCUACAGCCAAAAGUCUUAGACUAGAGUGCAGGAGAGGUAAGUGGAAUUCCGAGUGUAGAGGUGAAAGGCGUAGAUAGUAGGAGGAACA
rnacentral:rRNA from 1 species